rnacentral:rRNA from 1 species
AUGACCUCGGAUCAGGUAGGGAUACCCGCUGAACUUAAGCAUAUCAUAACCCGGAA